GACGAACGCUGGCGGCGUGCCUAAUACAUGCAAGUCGAGCGGACUGAAUGGGAGCUUGCUCUUGUUCGGUCAGCGGCGGACGGGUGAGUAACACGUGGGCAACCUGCCCGCAAGACCGGGAUAACUCCGGGAAACCGGAGCUAAUACCGGAUAACACCGAAGACCGCAUGGUCUUUGGUUGAAAGGCGGCGCAAGCUGCCACUUGCGGAUGGGCCCGCGGCGCAUUAGCUAGUUGGUGAGGUAACGGCUCACCAAGGCGACGAUGCGUAGCGGGCCUGGGUCUGAGAGGGAGGACACUGACACUGGAACAGGGCCCAGACUCCGACGGGUGCGAGAGGUAGGGGUGAGGACGCUAGGUGAGAGAGCGUGAGGGUGAGACGGCGCGGGAGCGAAGAAGGUCAUCGGGUUGUGGGGUGCAGUUUGGAGUGACGAGGGGGCGACGGGUGAAGAAGGCGGCUCGGUGACGGUACCGCACGAGGAAGGCCCGGCUAACUACGUG
rnacentral:rRNA from 1 species